GCCGAUACUAAGAGCUGUUCGGGAGCUGCUGAAGCAUGUGGACUUCGCAAUGGUCCUGCUGAGACAUUGACAUUGCAAGAAAUGGAAUCUAGAGAACAAACUUAAUGCAAUCUAAGUGGUUGGAAUGGCAACAACAUGAGGAUUAAUGGUACAUUAGGAAAACAAAUGGAAGUGUCAGCUGUCUGCAUGCACCAUUACAUGCUCACCUAGAGUGGACAAUGAACAAACUGACAUUGAUCACCUUGUUUGCCUUGUAAGAUAUACUCAAAGUGUCCAAACACAUUGGUUUCUUUGCUGGUGUUUGGAAACUAAAUCUGUUCAAUAAAUGGUGUUGGAAAACCUAAAUAGCCACAUGCAGAAGAAUGAAACAGAACCCCCACCUCUCAUCACUCCUCAAAAUUAAUUGUAGAUGGACAAAAGACUUAAAUGUAA